AUGGCGACGGCGGUCACCGGUGCAAGUGACCCGUCACCGAUCGUGCAGACAAGGCCAGCGAGCACGGCGGAUGAGACACGGCCCCUGCCUCACGUCGUCCUGCUGGCCAGCCCCGGCAUGGGCCACCUCAUCCCCCUGGCCGAGCUCGCGCGCCGGCUCGCGGUUGACCACGGCUUCGCCGCAACGAUCGUCACGCUCACCAACCUCUCCGACGCGGCCGCCGACGCCGCCGUGCUCUCCUCCAUGCCGGCGUCGGUCUCGACCGCUGUGCUCCCCUCCGUCGCGCUGGACGACCUCCCGCCGGGCGUCGGCUUCGGCACCCUCAUGUUCGAGCUCCUCCGCCGCUCGCUCCCGCACCUCCGCGCGCUCAUGUGCUCGGCGGUCGGCCUCGGCCCCAUCGCCGCGCUCGUGUGCGAUUUCUUCGGCACCGCCGCGCUCCCUCUCGCCGCGGACCUCGGCGUCCCGGGGUACGUCUUCUUCCCCAACAGCUUCACCUUGGUCUCCGUCAUGCGGCGCCUCGCGGAGCUCCACGACGGCGCCGCCCCCGGCGAGUACCGCGACCUCCCGGACACUCUCCGGCUCCCGGGCUGCGUGCCGCUGCGCCACGCCGAGCUGCCCGACGGGUUCCGCGAACGUACCGACCCUGUCUACGCCUACCUCGUCGAGGAGGCGCGGCGGUACGGCCGCGCCGAUGGCUUCUUGGUCAACAGCUUCGAGGAGCUGGAGUCCGCCGUCGCGGAGGCGUUCGACCGGGACGCCGCGGACGGCGCGUUCCCGCCGGUGUAUCCCGUGGGGCCGUUCGUCCGGUCAAGCAGCUCCAACGAAGAAGCCGACGAGCUGGACUGCCUGGGGUGGCUCGACCGGCAGCCGGCGGGAUCAGUGGUGUACGUCUCCUUCGGCAGCGGCGGCGCGCUGACCGUGGAGCAGACGGUCGAGCUCGCCACCGGCCUGGGGACGAGCGGCCACCGGUUCCUCUGGGUGGUGCGCAUGCCAAGCCAUGACGGGAACAACAACGCCUUGGGGGCCGACGGUAGCUACCGGAGCCAGGACGACCCGCUGGCAUGGCUUCCGGAAGGCUUCCUGGAGAGGACGAAGAGCAGGGGCCUCGCCGUGGCCGGGUGGGCGCCGCAGGUGCGCGUGCUGGCGCACCCCGCGACGGCGGGGUUCAUGUCGCACUGCGGGUGGAACUCGACGCUGGAGAGCCUGGCCUCCGGCGUCCCGAUGGUCACCUGGCCGCUGUACGCCGAGCAGAAGAUGAACGCGGCCAUCCUGACGGAGUUGGCAGGGGUGGCACUGCGGCCGGCGGUGAGACGAGAGGACGGCUUCGUGGCGGGCGAGGAGGUCGCGGCGGCCGUCAGGGAGCUCAUGGAAGGGGAGAAGGGAAGAGCGGUGCGCCAGCAAGCCAGGCGGCUUCAGGAGGCAGCGGCACGGGCGUGUACGCCGGAGGGGCCGUCGCGGUGGGCGCUGGAGAAGGUGGCCGGCAAGUGGAUGGCCGGGCUUCGCAACGGGGAUUGA
rnacentral:rRNA from 1 species